UUGGAGGGCAAGUCUGGUGCCAGCAGCCGCGGUAAUUCCAGCCCCAAUAGCGUAUAUUAAAGUUGUUGCAGUUAAAAAGCUCGUAGUUGAACCUCGGGAUCAAUGGGUCGGUCAUGCCAAUGGUAUGUACUGGCCUCAUUGGUUCUCACCUUCUAAGGAACCAUGAUGUCAUUCAUUUGAUGUUGUGGGGAAUUAGGACUGUUACCUUGAAAAAAUUAGAGUGUUUAAAGCAGGCUAACGCUUGAAUACAUUAGCAUGGAAUAAUGAAAUAGGACAUCGCAUUCUAUUUUGUUGGUUUCUAGGAUCGAUGUAAUGAUUAAUAGGGAUAGUUGGGGGCAUUAGUAUUCAAUUGUCAGAGGUGAAAUUCUUGGAUUUAUUGAAGACUAACUACUGCGAAAGCAUUUGCCAAGGAUGUUUUCAUUAAUCAAGAACGAAAGUUAGGGGAUCGAAGACGAUCAGAUACCGUCGUAGUCUUAACCAUAAACUAUGCCGACUAGGGAUCGGAUGAUGUUGAUUUUUUAAUGACUCAUUCGGCACCUUACGGGAAACCAAAGUGUUUGGGUUC
rnacentral:rRNA from 1 species